UGGGGAAUUUUGGACAAUGGGCGANANCCUGAUCCAGCCAUGCCGCGUGCAGGAUGAAGGCCUUCGGGUUGUAAACUGCUUUUGUACGGAACGAAAAGACUCUGGUUAAUACCUGGGGUCCAUGACGGUACCGUAAGAAUAAGCACCGGCUAACUACGUGCCAGCAGCCGCGGUAAUACGUAGGGUGCAAGCGUUAAUCGGAAUUACUGGGCGUAAAGCGUGCGCAGGCGGUUAUAUAAGACAGAUGUGAAAUCCCCGGGCUCAACCUGGGAACUGCAUUUGUGACUGUAUAGCUAGAGUACGGCAGAGGGGGAUGGAAUUCCGCGUGUAGCAGUGAAAUGCGUAGAUAUGCGGAGGAACACCGAUGGCGAAGGCAAUCCCCUGGGCCUGUACUGACGCUCAUACACGAAAGCGUGGGGAGCAAACAGGAUUAGAUACCCUGGUAGUCCACGCCCUAAACGAUGUCAACUGGUUGUUGGGUCUUCACUGACUCAGUAACGAAGCUAACGCGUGAAGUUGACCGCCUGGGGAGUACGGCCGCAAGGUUG
rnacentral:rRNA from 1 species